rnacentral:rRNA from 1 species
CGAAUGCUGACAUAAGUAACGAUAAAGCGGGUGAAAAGCCCGCUCGCCGGAAGACCAAGGGUUCCUGUCCAACGUUAAUCGGGGCAGGGUGAGUCGACCCCUAAGGCGAGGCCGAAAGGCGUAGUCGAUGGGAAACAGGUUAAUAUUCCUGUACUUGGUGUUACUGCGAAGGGGGGACGGAGAAGGCUAUGUUGGCCGGGCGACGGUUGUCCCGGUUUAAGCGUGUAGGCUGGUUUUCCAGGCAAAUCCGGAAAAUCAAGGCUGAGGCGUGAUGACGAGGCACUACGGUGCUGAAGCAACAAAUGCCCUGCUUCCAGGAAAAGCCUCUAAGCAUCAGGUAACAUCAAAUCGUACCCCAAACCGACACAGGUGGUCAGGUAGAGAAUACCAAGGCGCUUGAGAGAACUCGGGUGAAGGAACUAGGCAAAAUGGUGCCGUAACUUCGGGAGAAGGCACGCUGAUAUGUAGGUGAAGCGACUUGCUCGUGGAGCUGAAAUCAGUCGAAGAUACCAGCUGGCUGCAACUGUUUAUUAAAAACACAGCACUGUGCAAACACGAAAGUGGACGUAUACGGUGUGACGCCUGCCCGGUGCCGGAAGGUUAAUUGAUGGGGUUAGCGGUAACGCGAAGCUCUUGAUCGAAGCCCCGGUAAACGGCGGCCGUAACUAUAACGGUCCUAAGGUAGCGAAAUUCCUUGUCGGGUAAGUUCCGACCUGCACGAAUGGCGUAAUGAUGGCCAGGCUGUCUCCACCCGAGACUCAGUGAAAUUGAACUCGCUGUGAAGAUGCAGUGUACCCGCGGCAAGACGGAAAGACCCCGUGAACCUUUACUAUAGCUUGACACUGAACAUUGAGCCUUGAUGUGUAGGAUAGGUGGGAGGCUUUGAAGUGUGGACGCCAGUCUGCAUGGAGCCGACCUUGAAAUACCACCCUUUAAUGUUUGAUGUUCUAACGUUGGCCCCUGAUCGGGGUUGCGGACAGUGUCUGGUGGGUAGUUUGACUGGGGCGGUCUCCUCCUAAAGAGUAACGGAGGAGCACGAAGGUUGGCUAAUCCUGGUCGGACAUCAGGAGGUUAGUGCAAUGGCAUAAGCCAGCUUGACUGCGAGCGUGACGGCGCGAGCAGGUGCGAAAGCAGGUCAUAGUGAUCCGGUGGUUCUGAAUGGAAGGGCCAUCGCUCAACGGAUAAAAGGUACUCCGGGGAUAACAGGCUGAUACCGCCCAAGAGUUCAUAUCGACGGCGGUGUUUGGCACCUCGAUGUCGGCUCAUCACAUCCUGGGGCUGAAGUAGGUCCCAAGGGUAUGGCUGUUCGCCAUUUAAAGUGGUACGCGAGCUGGGUUUAGAACGUCGUGAGACAGUUCGGUCCCUAUCUGCCGUGGGCGCUGGAGAACUGAGGGGGGCUGCUCCUAGUACGAGAGGACCGGAGUGGACGCAUCACUGGUGUUCGGGUUGUCAUGCCAAUGGCACUGCCCGGUAGCUAAAUGC